UCCUUUUGUAUAACUUUCCCUCAUACAUCAAAUAUUGAGGUGCUUGAGGUCUCAGUUUUCUAGCUUUCUCACAAUGGUAGGUAGAAACCCCUCUCGUAAGAAUCAGACAAUCGGAUCUAUCCAACUCGACUCAUGAUCAGUUUGCAUCAUCGAGGUUUCCUCGAUGCUAGGUUUUUUAAAAGUCUCUACAUAUGAGCUCCUCUUGAGAUUGGUGACUCCCAAAGUGGCG
rnacentral:lncRNA from 1 species